rnacentral:rRNA from 1 species
UACGUAGGGAGCAAGCGUUGUCCGGAAUCACUGGGCGUAAAGGGCGCGUAGGCGGCGCGGUAAGUCCGUGGUGAAAGCCCGAGGCUCAACUUCGGGUCGGCCAUGGAUACUCCUGGGCUUGAGCACUGUAGAGGCAGGUGGAAUUCCGGGUGUAGCGGUGGAAUGCGUAGAGAUCCGGAAGAACACCGGUGGCGAAGGCGGCCUGCUGGGCAGUAGCUGACGCUGAGGCGCGACAGCGUGGGGAGCAAACAGG